CAAAAAAAAAAAAAAAAAAAAAAAUACCGUUCUUCUACAAUAUUUUGAUUUCCAGUACAAAUAACUAAACAUCCUUCAAUCAUGAUACAUUAACUUGAGACAAAAAAUUAAGCAAUUAAGUCUUGUUUUCUGGGAAACUGAACAGAAUAAAGUGAGUUUUUGCUUAAAACAAAAACAAAUAUUUGCCAGUGGGGUAUGAAAUUGUUCAUAUUGUUCCUGUGUGUGUGUGUGUGUGUGUGUGUGUGUGUGUGUUUAGGGGUUGUCAGCAGUGAAUGAGCAGUGUGUGUUUGCACUCACACACAGACAUCCAUUAAACGAUUCACCGAUUAAACCUCAACACGCUCUGAAUCUCAAUAACGUUACUUCAUGAAGAUCAGAGGCGGAGUUUUCCUGAUGCAUCACAUCAGAAGCAACAAGGUAUGUUUAUGCAGUUUUUAAUGCAUGGAGGCAGUGUAAAUCACAGGAAACACUGUAUUACAUGCUUGAAGGUUUAUUAUUGAUUUUUGUGUACAGCCAUCAGAAAACAAGACUACUGAUUCUAAUGAUAGACUAUGAAAUCAAAACUAUUUACUUUUCCAGAGCUUCUCCAGCCACUUUAUUUUCAUCAUGCAUUGGAAAUAGUAUAAGGAGCAGCGGGAUCAAGCGGUUAUUACGGCUGCGUCACACAGUUCUCCGGUCCUCCGCUGAGCGGCCGGCUGUCCUUGGCUCGACUUUCACCUGCUCGCGGUAGAUGAAGGGAUAAACAGGGGUGAAGAUGAUGGAGAUUGAAAAGGGGAUUAAUCUCCUCCAUUUCAGCCUCAUGACACCAAACCAUUCUUCUGUGGAUCCGCGUCGCUCUCCGCAAAGGGCAGGACUGGAGUCACAGAAACUGAGAUAUGGAUCGAGAGGUGUUUAUGUGGUUAUUCAUGCCUUCUGCUAUCAUACGAGAUGGAAAAUGAGGGAAUUUGGGAUGGAUCGAUGGAAAGGAAUCCAAUUUAGAUCUCUUUAAUAUUUCAGGGUGUUUUCAUGGUUUGGUUGAUUUGGACAAUCGCAUAACAUGACAAUCACAACCCAUUUCACUUUUGUAAUUUAUAAGUGAAAGCAAACGUAGUUCAGUGAGGCUGCAUUUAUUUGAUCAAAAAUACAGUAAAAAUAUGAAAUAUUAUUAUAAUUUAAAAUAACUGUUUUCUAUGUGAAUCUCUGUUAAACUGUAAUUUAUUUCUGUGAUGCACAGCUGUAUUUUCAGCAUCAUUACUCCAGUCUUCAGUGUCACAUGAUCUUCAGAAAUCAUUCUAAUAUGAUGAUUUGCUGCUCAAGAAACAAUCCUGAUUAUAAUCAAUGUUGAAAACAGUUGUGCUGCACAAUAAUAAUUAAAAUCUGUAUGCGUUUCAUAUAAAGUUUUACGAUUUUAUUUUAAUGCUUUUAACACCAGAAGGUUAGUAAUGUGAGACUAUAGAAAGGCUCCUGCAGCUGUCUCUCUCCUUUAGGAAACACAUAAAUGUCUGACAGAUUUUCUCUCUGAAAAUCUGCACUCGAGCGUCCGCUAGAUUUAUACAAACAUAAGAGAGCGUGUGGCCUUUACUGCAGUGCUGUGACCUUUCAGCUGGAGAACAGCGAGAUCCGUCCCGGCCGCUUGUGUAUUAUUAUGAUGAACGAUGUUCAUUAAACGGGUGAGAAUAUCAAUUAGCUGUAAACGAGCGAGAGAAACUUACUCAUUCUGUCACACUGAAGAACUUUAAUUCUUUCAUUCU
ensembl:lncRNA